rnacentral:ncRNA from 1 species
UGUUGAGCCUGACUCUAGUCUGGCACUGUGGAGAGAUAUCAGAGGUGUAGAACAAAUGGGAGGCUCCGCAGUUGCACAAUGCAGGCCAAGGUCCAGUUGCCAGUGAUACACUGCUGAUCAUUUCUUCCACUUACCUGCUGAGGUGUGUGGCCAGUGGGGAGCCCCAAAGGGCUCUCACUUCUGAUGCCAAGCGCCUGGCAUGACAUGCUCCAGGGACAGGCUCAGGUAGGGAGUUUGACUGGGGCAGUACACUCGUCAAAUCAUAACACAGGUGUCCUAGGACAAGCUCAGGGUGGAUGAAACCUCCCAAAGAGCAGAAGAUCAAGGCUUGAUCUUGAUCUCUAGUACAGAUAUAGUCCAUGAAAGCAGGGCCUCACUGUCCUUCUGAGUUUCUGGGUUUUAAGUAGGCAUCCAGGAGGCAGUGGCUGAGAAACUCCAGGCACAAGUCUCCACA